rnacentral:rRNA from 1 species
CCUUACCAAGGCUUGACAUACACCGGAAACGGCCAGAGAUGGUUGCCCCUUGUGGUCGGUGUACGAGGUGGUGCAUGGUUGUCGUCAGCUCGUGUCGUGAGAUGGUUGGGUUAAGUCCCGCAACGAGCGCAACCCUCGUUCUAUGUUGCCAGCGCGUUAUGGCGGGGACUCAUAGGAGACUGCCGGGGUCAACUCGGAGGAAGGUGGGGAUGACGUCAAAUCAUCAUGCCCCUUAUGUCUUGGGCUUCACGCAUGCUACAAUGGCCGGUACAAAGGGCUGCGAUACCGUAAGGUGGAGCGAAUCCCAAAAAGCCGGUCUCAGUUCGGAUUGAGGUCUGCAACUCGACCUCAUGAAGUCGGAGUCGCUAGUAAUCGCAGAUCAGCAACGCUGCGGUGAAUACGUUCCCGGGCCUUGUACACACCGCCCGUCAAGUCAUGAAAGUCGGUAACACCCGAAGCCGGUGGCCUAACCCUUGUGGAAGGAGCCGUCGAAGGUGGGAUCGGUGAUUAGGACUAAGUCGUAACAAGGUAAGCGUAGAUGA